UACGGAGGGUGCAAGCGUUAUCCGGAUUCACUGGGUUUAAAGGGUGCGUAGGAGGGCAGGUAAGUCAGUGGUGAAAUCUCCGAGCUUAACUCGGAAACUGCCGUUGAUACUAUCUGUCUUGAAUACCGUGGAGGUAAGCGGAAUAUGUCAUGUAGCGGUGAAAUGCUUAGAUAUGACAUAGAACACCGAUAGCGAAGGCAGCUUGCUACACAAUUAUUGACACUGAGGCUCGAAAGCGUGGGGAUCAAACAGG
rnacentral:rRNA from 1 species